GUGGGGAAUUUUGGACAAUGGGCGAAAGCCUGAUCCAGCCAUGCCGCGUGCAGAAUGAAGGCCUUCGGGUUGUAAACUGCUUUUGUACGGAACGAAACGGCUCUUUCUAAUAAAGGGGGCUAAUGACGGUACCGUAAGAAUAAGCACCGGCUAACUACGUGCCAGCAGCCGCGGUAAUACGUAGGGUGCAAGCGUUAAUCGGAAUUACUGGGCGUAAAGCGUGCGCAGGCGGUUAUAUAAGACAGAUGUGAAAUCCCCGGGCUCAACCUGGGAACUGCAUUUGUGACUGUAUAGCUAGAGUACGGUAGAGGGGGAUGGAAUUCCGCGUGUAGCAGUGAAAUGCGUAGAUAUGCGGAGGAACACCGAUGGCGAAGGCAAUCCCCUGGACCUGUACUGACGCUCAUGCACGAAAGCGUGGGGAGCAAACAGGAUUAGAUACCCUUGUAGUCC
rnacentral:rRNA from 1 species